CGUCCCCUAGGGAAGGAUUAUCUACAAACUUUCCUAUUAAGACUUUGGAAGAGUUCCUCGAUUUUGAGAGGACUCUCGACCCAAUGCAUGAGGACAAUUUGGCUGACCCUGAAAAGGCUUUGAGCAAGCGUGUGACACUUAAAGAAUUUAUGAGUGUGUUAACGCAUAAAGAAUCCAAUUACGCUGCAGACAUUAAGAAGAUCCUCAAGGAAUUAAUCGCCAAAGAAGUUCAACUUAAUUAUAGUGGCGUAGGCCGUGUUGUCAAAGGAAAAGGAAAAAAAAUUUCAGUGCAACAGCGACUUUUGCGUGUAUGAGAGAUUUCAUUGAGACAAAAUAUAAAGACUCUAAUCAACCAUUGAAGAUUAUUACGGUUACAAGUGAUUGGCUAGCAGGUGCUGGCGACAGAGAUGGAGGAUGCAUACAGCGUAAAAAGGAAGUUGGUGCAGUUUAACUGAAAAAAGAGCUUAGAGGGAUUGAACCAGAACUCACCUGUCAGUGAAAACUUAAUUUUGCGAAUUUACUGUUUCUCGUGUUAAAAAAAAGGAGUUAAUUUUUAACGUUAAUUUUUUUGUUCAUUUUUAUCGGGAGUUUUGUUUAGUAAAGUAUAUGUAGAACAAUAUAUAUAAUAUUAAUAAUAUAAUAAAGACAAUUAAAUAUAAUUACUUCCAAUAAAUCGUUCUUCAUUGAAUGUGCCAAUCCACAAAAUACCUAUUCAAAUUACUUCUGAACAAUGACUAAGCCAAGGUAUUAAAAAACAAAAAUAAGCCUGGAACGGCGCUGGUUUCAGUGCCUGGACCAGUGUUAAUAAGACGGCCUGGGCCAGCCCUAGUUACCAGGUCUGGCCCCACGUUACAUUCCAAUGAUCAUCCACUAUUGGUCCGCGCUUGGAUACCAAGCCUGAUCCAAGCUUGCCAAGUCUUGGGAAUGGCUUGGUUAAAGGCUGGGCCAUUGGUGAUUUCCUACCUGGGAUUUGUUUUUCCUGGUUUAUAUAUAAUUUUUGCUCCAUAUUCUCCAAUUAAAGCAUCUUUUCAUUUUGGCAUUUGGAUUUCUAGGUGAGACUGCAAAUGUUAGUGGUUGGUGAUCGGUAUGAAUUUCCAAAUCUGAAACUCCGUAUAAAUAAUUUCUUAGAUUUUUUAAUGCCCAUACGAUAGCGUAUAGUUCUUUUUCGUUAGUCGCGUAAUUUUUUUCAGUUGAAUUUAAUGUUUUAGAUAUAAAUGUAAUAGGUUUGCCCCCUUGGCUUAAGACUCCACCAAUAGCUUCAUUUGAUGCGUCUGUUGUUAAUAUAAAUGUUUCGUUAAAAUUUGGUUGAAUUAAUUCAACUUGAUCUACUAAUAUAGACUUCAAUUUCUCAAUUGCCAAAAGUCCUUCUUGUUCCAGUCUGAUUUGAAUUUUUUUGGACAUAUGUUGUGAAACUCUUAAUGGUUUUGCUAUUUUAGCAUAAUUUUUAAUAAACUUCCUGUAAUAUCCAAUCAUUCCUAGGAAACUACGUAACUGUCGUAGAGUUGUCGGAACUGCAAAAUUUAAAAUUGUUUCAACUUUUUUUCGAUCUGUCUUUAUAACAUUAUUUGCAACUAUAUAUCUCAAAAAUUCUACUUCUUCUUGGUAAAAUUUAGAUUUUUGUAAUGAAAUUUUCAUAUUUGCGUUUUUUAGUACUUCUAUUAUUAUACUUAAAUGUUUUUUAUGUUCCUCGAAGUUUUUUGAAAAUAUAAACGUGACAAAAUUUUCCAAUAAAGUCCCUUAAAACAUUAUCCAUCGCCCUUUGAAAUAUACUAGGCGAGUUUUUUAAACCAAAUGGCAUUCUUAAAAAUUCGUAUUUUCCGUUAUUUACUGAAAAUGCAGUUUUUUCAAUAUCGUGUUCUUUAAUAAGGAUCUGGUGAAAACCCGAUUCCAGAUCUACUGUGGAAAAAUAUUUCGAACUUCCUAAAUUUGAAAGUAUUAUAUUGCUAUCCGGAAUUGGAUAUUUAUCCGAUUUUGUUACUUCAUUUAAUUUUUUAUAAUCGAUUACCAUUCGCAAUUUCGGCGUACCGUCUUCAUUAACACCUUUUUUUGGUACAACCCAAAUUGGUGAAUUAUAUGCGCUCUUACUUGGCCUUAUUAUUUUAUCUUCCAUCAAUUUUUUUACCUCUUCGUUUAUGAAAGAAUUAGCAGAAAGAGGAUAUGGGUAUUGUUUACUCCAUAUAGGAGUUUCAACAAUUGUCGUUAUUUCCGCUUUUAUAUCCGUUCGAAACGGUAAAUUCAUAUUUAUUGAAGAAUGUAUUUGAUAUAUUUCAUUUCUAAUUUCCUCUCUUAAAUUUUUAAUUUCAUCUUCGUUUAUGUCGGUAUUUCCUUCGACUGGCGCUUUAGAGAACUUUUCCUCUAAAAUAAUUUUGUUUACAUAGUUUUCCUCUUCUAUAUUGCCGGUAUUAUCAUCGGCUGGCGUUGUAGAAC